GAGAGGCUAACCAGCCAUCAUGGCACUUUCCAAGGCAGACUUAUUUCAGGUCCAACAUGGAUUCAUGUCGCUGGUCAUCCAAAAGAUAAGUUGGGGGCCACGGCUUGGAAAUGGGAUGAUAGUAGGGUAGUGGGUUGGAAAUUACUGGGACAGGUUUAAAAAUUAGUGGAGGGGAAACGGAUGUCCUUUAAGGGGUCUCUUAGGACAGCUAAAGGGAGUGGCUCUACUUUUGAUUGCUGGUGUAGGGUAUGCAGUGCAGAACAGUUCCAGUCUGUACUGUCCAGUCUGUGUUGUGUUGUCUGGUAUGCUGUGUUGUCUAGUAUGUCUUUGGGAUCCCUUGGAUCAGAUAUCUCUGCCUUUUCCCCUGGAGGGCCUUAUCACAAGCAUUGACCAUCAUUUCUAGAUUCUUGAACAUUCGCGUUUCUCGGCACUGCGCUGAUAUAGUUUGUUCUUUUUUGAAAUCCUCUACCUAUCUUCGAAUGGGUACAAGUCCUUAUCCACUGUAAUGAAACAUUGCGGUAUAUAACUGCCCAGUCUCUGAGUCUCUUCUCAGAAGCAUCGAGUCGGACAUCUUUUGAGGCCUCAUUCCUGGCUCUGUCACCAUCCAUCCUUUCCAGCUGUGCAUUGUAACAUCCUGGGGCUUGGAAGAUUGAAUGGAUAUGAGGAGCAUUCUAAAUGUAGAAUGUAGAUCUUGAUCAUUGUGACCAACAGUUCUUUUAACAGGUCACUGUUGAAAUCUUUUCUUUGGCUCCUUAGAGCCUCCUCCAUCCACCAUUGCCAUACCAUUGGCCAUCUCUUUUGGCGUUGUCUUGGUCCUUUGCCAUUAUUCUUCUUGCUGGGAUCUUUUUUUAUCACACUUCUGUCAUACUGCUUGUGGCAUAAUAUGUUGUUUGUGUUUAGCCUGGAACUGCUCUGCCCUGUGGGACAGAUGGGGGGGUAGUUGGAGUAGAAAGAAGACUUUACAGGUAACGUUUUGUUUUGCUUAGCCACCUGAGCCACAUCUCAGAUGGAGCGACCGUGGCCAGUCCGUGCAGAAGGCAGGCAGAGACAGCAGAAGCAGUACAGAGGUGUCUUGCAGUUUUCUAGUCAUUUGUCUUACUUCACGCUGUUGUGAGAUUCUAGGCAGUUUGCUUUGAGAAAUGUGAACUUUGGAAAGGUUAAACUUUCCCUGUGCAGCUGAGUGACUUUGACAAAUCUUUUUGCAGAGGGAUAGGAACCCAGUAAACCUGAUACGAACGCAGGAGGCCAGAGGAAUAUGGCAACAAGAUGAAAAGCAUUCAGCACAGCCAGGUAUCAGCACUGGGGGAGACCAUGACCGGAUGAAUACUGGCAGCCAAGAUGAGUAUAGUUUCCAGCACAGAUUCAAAUGCUACCAAAGUUGUUGUAGUAGCAAUGAAACUAUAGCCUUUGGCGUUUUUUUGUGUUUUACAGGUGGCCUGCAGCAUUUAAACUGCCAGUCCAAUAUGACCAAGACUCUUCCAGAAGGAUGUCACAUCCAAGCAGUUUUGGACGGAAACUACCUCAGCCACACUUUUGGACCCUGAGUUGCUACACUCCUUUCCAUUUUGUUUUGCCCCUUCUCCCUGGGCAGGAAGCAAAGCUGGAUAUCUGCAGUCAAGAUCAAGCAGGCAAGGCAGCCCACUGAUAUUACGCUGAGGCCCCCUCACCGACCUGCCAACAGACCUGGUUUGCUUCUCUUGUGAGCCCCAGGAAGUAUUACAGGAGUCUGUGAUGAAGUUUUGGCCUUUUCCACGUGCAGGUGCUGUCAGGGUAGCCUUUAAGAAUGACCAAGGGGUUGCGGUGAGUCGGGGAUGUUGGGAGGAGGAGUGAGGGUCCACUCAAGUUUCAGCAGUGCCACAUCACCGUGUGCCCUGCGCAGGCGUGCUCUGCGACGAUGGCAUCUGGCUCCCAGUGUGGCCGAAGUGUGUGGACCCAGGAUAUGGGUGUUUUCAGGAGAC